AACGAACGCUGGCGGCAGGCCUAACACAUGCAAGUCGAGCGCCCUUUCGGGGGAGCGGCGGACGGGUGAGUAACGCGUGGGAAUAUGCCCUUCUCUACGGAAUAGCCUCGGGAAACUGAGAGUAAUACCGUAUACGCCCUGCGGGGGAAAGAUUUAUCGGGGAAGGAUUAGCCCGCGUUGGAUUAGGUAGUUGGUAGGGUAAUGGCCUACCAAGCCGACGAUCCAUAGCUGGUUUGAGAGGAUGAUCAGCCACACUGGGACUGAGACACGGCCCAGACUCCUACGGGAGGCAGCAGUGGGGAAUCUUAGACAAUGGGGGCAACCCUGAUCUAGCCAUGCCGCGUGAGUGAUGAAGGCCUUAGGGUUGUAAAGCUCUUUCAGCUGGGAAGAUAAUGACGGUACCAGCAGAAGAAGCCCCGGCUAACUCCGUG
rnacentral:rRNA from 1 species